rnacentral:rRNA from 1 species
GAUGAACGCUGGCUACAGGCUUAACACAUGCAAGUCGAGGGGAAACGGCAUUGAGUGCUUGCACUGAAUGGACGUCGACCGGCGCACGGGUGAGUAACGCGUAUCCAACCUUCCCGUUAUGGGGAUAACUGCCGAAAGGCAGACUAAUACCGCAUGUUCUUGAUGACGGCAUCAGAUUCGAAGCAAAGACUCGUCGGUAACGGAGGGGGAUGCGUCUGAUUAGCUUGUUGGCGGGGCGACGGCCCACCAAGGCGACGAUCAGUAGGGGUUCUGAGAGGAAGGUCCCCCACAUUGGAACUGAGACACGGUCCAAACUCCUACGGGAGGCAGCAGUGAGGAAUAUUGGUCAAUGGGCGGAAGCCUGAACCAGCCAAGUAGCGUGCAGGAUGACGGCCCUACGGGUUGUAAACUGCUUUUAUGCGGGGAUAAAGUGAGGGA